rnacentral:rRNA from 3 species
GGCGGACGGGUGAGUAAUGUCUGGGAAACUGCCUGAUGGAGGGGGAUAACUACUGGAAACGGUGGCUAAUACCGCAUAACGUCGCAAGACCAAAGAGGGGGACCUUCGGGCCUCUUGCCAUCAGAUGUGCCCAGAUGGGAUUAGCUUGUUGGUGAGGUAACGGCUCACCAAGGCGACGAUCCCUAGCUGGUCUGAGAGGAUGACCAGCCACACUGGAACUGAGACACGGUCCAGACUCCUACGGGAGGCAGCAGUGGGGAAUAUUGCACAAUGGGCGCAAGCCUGAUGCAGCCAUGCCGCGUGUAUGAAGAAGGCCUUCGGGUUGUAAAGUACUUUCAGCGGGGAGG